rnacentral:rRNA from 1 species
AUUGAACGCUAGCGGGAUGCUUUACACAUGCAAGUCGAACGGCAGCGCGGACUUCGGUCUGGCGGCGAGGGGCGAACGGGCGAGUAAUGUAUCGGAACGUGCGCAGUAGCGGGGGAUAACUACGCGACAGCGUAGCUAAUACCCCAUACGCGCUACGGGCGUAAGCAGGGGAUCGUAAGACCUUGCACCAUUGCAGCGGCGGAUGUCGGAUUAGCUAGUUGGCGAGGUAACGGCUCACCAAGGCGACGAUCCGUAGCUGGUUUGAGAGGACGAGCAGCCACACUGGGACUGAGACACGGCCCAGACUCCUACGGGAGGCAGCAGUGGGGAAUUUUGGACAAUGGGGGCAACCCUGAUCCAGCCAUACCGCGUGUGUGAUGAAGGCCUUCGGGUUGUAAAGCCCUUUUGUCAGGAAAGAAACGCAGCAGGCUAAUACCCCGCGGAACUGACGGUACCUGCAGAAUAAGCACCGGCUAACUACGUG